rnacentral:rRNA from 1 species
AUUGAACGCUGGCGGCAGGCCUAACACAUGCAAGUCGAAUGGUAACAGGAAACAGCUUGCUGUUUCGCUGACGAGUGGCGGACGGGUGAGUAAUGUCUGGGAAACUGCCUGAUGGAGGGGGAUAACUACUGGAAACGGUAGCUAAUACCGCAUAACGUCGCAAGACCAAAGAGGGGGACCUUCGGGCCUCUUGCCAUCAGAUGUGCCCAGAUGGGAUUAGCUAGUAGGUGGGGUAACGGCUCACCUAGGCGACGAUCCCUAGCUGGUCUGAGAGGAUGACCAGCCACACUGGAACUGAGACACGGUCCAGACUCCUACGGGAGGCAGCAGUGGGGAAUAUUGCACAAUGGGCGCAGGCCUGAUGCAGCCAUGCCGCGUGUAUGAAGAAGGCCUUCGGGUUGUAAAGUACUUUCAGCGGGGAGGAAGGGAGUAAAGUUAAUACCUUUGCUCAUUGACGUUACCCGCAGAAGAAGCACCGGCUAACUCCGUG